rnacentral:rRNA from 1 species
UCCAGACUCCUACGGGAGGCAGCAGUGGGGAAUAUUGCACAAUGGGGGGAACCCUGAUGCAGCGACGCCGCGUGGGUGAAGGAGCGUUUCGGCGCGUAAAGCCCUAUCGGCAGGGAAGAAGGAGGACGGUACCUGACUAAGAAGCCCCGGCUAACUACGUGCCAGCAGCCGCGGUAAUACGUAGGGGGCAAGCGUUAUCCGGAUUUACUGGGUGUAAAGGGGGCGCAGACGGCAGCGCAAGCCAGGAGUGAAAGCCCGGGGCCCAACCCCGGGACUGCUCUUGGAACUGCGCGGCUGGAGUGCAGGAGGGGCAGGCGGAAUUCCUGGUGUAGCGGUGAAAUGCGUAGAUAUCAGGAGGAACACCGGUGGCGAAGGCGGCCUGCUGGACUGCGACUGACGUUGAGGCCCGAAAGCGUGGGGAGCAAACAGGAUUAGAUACCCGGGUAU